GAUGAACGCUGGCGGCGCGCCUAACACAUGCAAGUCGAACGGUUAAAGCACCUUUUAGGUGUGUAUAAAGUGGCGAACGGCUGAGUAACACGUGGGCAACCUGCCCUCCUCUUGGGGAUAGCCUCGGGAAACCGAGGAUAAUACCCGAUACUUCAAUGUGGCCGCAUGACGACAUUGAGAAAGCUUUUGCGGAGAAGGAUGGGCCCGCGGUCUGUUAGCUUGUUGGUGGGGUAGAGGCCUACCAAGGCAAUGAUGGGUAGCUGGGUUGAGAGACCGACCAGCCAGAUUGGGACUGAGACACGGCCCAGACUCCUACGGGAGGCAGCAGUGGGGAAUCUUGCACAAUGGGCGAAAGCCUGAUGCAGCGACGCCGCGUGCGGGACGAAGGCCUUCGGGUUGUAAACCGCUUUCAGCAGGGACGAGGCGAU
rnacentral:rRNA from 2 species